rnacentral:rRNA from 1 species
AGUGAACGCUGGCGGUAGGCCUAACACAUGCAAGUCGAACGGCAGCACAGUAAGAGCUUGCUCUUACGGGUGGCGAGUGGCGGACGGGUGAGGAAUACAUCGGAAUCUACUUUUUCGUGGGGGAUAACGUAGGGAAACUUACGCUAAUACCGCAUACGACCUACGGGUGAAAGCAGGGGAUCUUCGGACCUUGCGCGAUUGAAUGAGCCGAUGUCGGAUUAGCUAGUUGGCGGGGUAAAGGCCCACCAAGGCGACGAUCCGUAGCUGGUCUGAGAGGAUGAUCAGCCACACUGGAGCUGAGACACGGUCCAGACUCCUACGGGAGGCAGCAGUGGGGAAUAUUGGACAAUGGGCGCAAGCCUGAACCAGCCAUGCCGGGUGGGUGAAGAAGGCCUUCGGGUUGUAAAGCCCUUUUGUUGGGAAAGAAAAGCAGCAGGUUAAAACCCCGCUGUUCUGACGGUACCCAAAGAAUAAGCACCGGCUAACUUCGG